UCUCUGAUCUCUUUGUGCAGGGACCUAUGGUCUCCACUGGAGUUACUUUGUUUCUGUUGACUGUCAGCCAACAUGGUUUUGUUUCUUGGAUGGGCGGUUGGUAUUUUGUUUUCUUUGCCAUUAGAAGCAGAUGUUGCUGUCAUCUCCUUUCUGGCAAUAGUCUUCUGUGCUUGUUCUGACUGAAAUGGAAUGGUAGAUAGGUCUUUAGUCUGCACUGUCUGCCCCUGUUCCACCUUAAGGUCACUUCCUAUAUGCCUGGCUCUGUCAUGUGCCUUGUCUUUAAUGUCUUGCAUGACUUCCUUCACCUCUUUGGGUUCCUCUGGUUUCAUAUCUUUAGAGAAUGAUUCAGGUUCACCAUUGACAGUCGAAGAAGUUGAUUUCUGUGUUACAACAGGUGUUUCUGGACCUUUAGUAGUAGUGAACACGUCUGCUGCUAUUUUCCCUGAUUCUUUUAAAGGCCGCUGUGUCAUCUCAUUGGGUUGAACAAUGGUUUUAAUUGGGGCUCGAUCUUGAGAGUCAUGAAUGUUAUCUGCAGGGACUGCUGUCUUUGGCUGAAAUUCAAGAGGAAGUGAUUCGGAUACUGCUGAUUUUGGUUCUUGUUUAUCAGAGGGAGAAAAACCUUCAGUGGAACUGGCAGAAGAUUGAGAGUUCUUCUGAGUUGGGCUUUGCUCUGUUUUCAGUGGAGAAGCAAGCUGGGUGGCAGCUGCUGUUGUGGGUUGCCGUUGAGCAGUUGUGCUAGAUGGAGGAGGAGGUGGAGAUGUCUGGCCUGCCUGGAUAGGGGCUAAUGAAGGGGACCUGGGCUGUGUGGCUGUUUGGGGUGUUGAUGGGAGCUCGGUUGAUCUGCGAGAUGGAGAUGAGGGUAGAGAUACAGCUUCUUGUUGAGGGGCUGCAUGAGGUGGAGCCGAGGGCUGGGAAGGAGCUCGCGAUUGAGUGUCUACACGAGACAGAGACGCUGGCUGAGAAGGGACUCUGGGUUGAGUGAUGGCAGGAGAUGGUGAUGAAGGCUGCGAUUCAGUUCUGGAUGUCUGAGAUUGAAGAUGAGGGCCCUGUGCUGGGGCUACGGCUGGAGGCCUGUAUGGUGGCCUUUCAGGUGCCUGUGGAGUGGGUGUCUGGGUAGGUCUUGUAGUUAUCGUAGGCUGGGUAACUGUUGCUCUUUCAGCCGUUUGAGUAGUGGGAGCAGGGGUUGUAGUGGUGCUCGGCUGGGAAGGGAUUUGGGUUUCAGCUGUUUGAGGCAUUGCAGGGGGAGCGGUGGUAGAGAUGGAGGGCUGGGGAGGGGCUUCAGUUGUUGCAGCUGUUUGUGGCGUGGUUGGGGGAGGGGUGAUGGUGACGGAGGGCUGGGGAGGGGCUUCGGUUGUUGCAGCUGUUUGUGGCAUGGUUGGGGGAGGGGUGGCAGUGACGGAGGGCUGGGGAGGGGCUGGGGUUGCAGUUGUUUGUGGCAUUGUUUGGGACGGGGUCGUAGCAGGAGUAGGCUGGGCCGGUGGCCUGGGGGGAAAUGUUGGACGUGGGGGUGGUGCAGCUGGUAACCAGGGAAGACGAAAGCGGAAUGCUGGUCUUUGGUCUGCCAUAGAGGUUUAAAGGAGUGACCUAUGAAGUAAAUAACUGAAUUUUGAGCCCUAAGAGUUGGUUGCCUGGCAUAAGGAGCGAAAUGCAACAUAUAUAGCUUCUCAUAUGAUUCUUUGGAAAGUUUGUAAGUACAUUUGGUCUGCUUACUUGUCAUUGUUUCCUUCUUUGCCUGCCUUGUCUGAUUUCCUUAAACUGAUUUUCCUUGGCAGAUCAGCUAGCAUCUUUUUCAGUAGGCCAAUGAACUCACUCUUGGGAAUUCAUCACGGCAUGUCUUUACAACUUUGUGGUGAGAUCUUACACUGUUUUUUUGUUUUUCCUCUUCCUCUAGAGAGUAGAUUAGCAUAUUCUUCUCUCGUUCUUGGCCAAACCCAAACCCAACAGUUUGCGCCACAUACAUGUGAAACAUGUGGGGACUUUUUGUGUUGAUAGUAUGCCAAGGUUUAUUAAUACUUGAUUUAUUAAAAAGAAUAAAGAAAUUUUUUUUUUUUUUUUAAAAAAAAAAACUACACUUCAAGAAGGGGGUGCUACUCCAGCUCCAGAAGCAUUUAGGAAUUGCCUGGAUGGAGAAUCCUCUUCUUGUUCAUUUGUAAAAGGGAGUACUCAAGAAUCAACUUUCAUUAAACUCCCUCUGCCCCCAGAAUCAAUUCAGAGCACUAAGAAUCCACUGGUCUUGAGAAACAAGGCGCCUAGAUGGCAUGAGCAAUUGCAAUGCUGGUGCCUAAAUUUCAAAGGGCGUGUUACUGUGGCCUCUGUCAAGAACUUUCAGCUGGUGGCAGCCAUGAAUCCAUCUGAGAUUAUUCCAGUUGAAGAACAAGAUAAGGUGAUCCUACAAUUUGGAAAGAUUGGAAAGGAUAUCUUUACAAUGGACUAUCGAUACCCCCUCUCUGCCUUCCAGGCCUUCGCAAUCUGUUUAAGCAGCUUUGACACUAAACCAGCAUGCGAGUAGUUGUACCAUCUUGCUUUUUCCAAAGUUAGUUUUUGUGUGUAAAUAUACCAAAGGAAGCCUGUUUGAGCUUCGUCUUUAGAUAGGAUGAUUAUGUGUGAAAAUCCAAACAUUUAUGUUCAGUUUUCAAAUGUAUCUGAUCCUCAAAAGUGUAAGUUAUCGUGAUUUUAUUUCCCAGAAGUCUGUAAUGUUUUCAAAGUUAUUGGAGUCUUACAUUUUUAAUGUUGCAAGUAGGAUCUAACUUUAGAUAAGGAAAGAUUGGCUAGUAGCUUUAACUGAGUCCUUUUGGGAUUGGAGAUUUAUAUGUAAUUUUACUACCACAGAAUAUCCUUGUUUAUAAUGAAUUCAACAACAUAAUGCAGGUAAAACCAUAUCAUUCUGGAACCUAUGACAUCCUUACUACUAUUUACUUUUGUUCGAUUUAAAGAAUGUCUUCACAGAUACUAUGAGGAUUUUGUUGUGAAUAUGUGAUGUAUGCACAUUUAUUUCAUAUGUAUUAGCAUGCUAGUAUGGUGUUCAGGAUAUUGCUUGCUCAGUGAGCAUCAAUGUUGUUCUCUUUACUCUUCUCCUUGCAGCCAACACGACAACCAUGACGUCGAGGCUUCGCAGCAUCCAAGUCAGAAUCACUUGACUCCAGAAACAGGCCUCUGAGACAUCUUCUUCUGACUGUAGGCUCUUGAGUAAGUUUUUGGGAGGGGGUCAUGUUGAAUUCAGCCUUUCGUGUCUCAAUGAGCUCUGGUUUUUGAGACAGCUUCUUUAAUUCUGUUGGACAAUGCGAGUGAAUCAGGUGGACACCAGGAUUUCCUUCCGUUAUGGAUGUGUUGAAUAAAAUUGAGUUGUUGAUACCCUGUGCAUUGCUGUUCACAUAUGCCUCUGAUGCUUGAUCUUCUUUGGCAUUUGAGUUGUCAGAUUGUCUGUUGAAACUCUCCUCUCCAUCAGUUGUUGCUUCGGUACUGUCAUCAGGUUUGAUCUUAUAGCCUCUGCGAAUGUGGAUUGACCCUUCUUUCUUUGAUGUGUCAAAGCCUACAUGCAUUGAUGCUCCCCUAUUUUCACCAGCAAGAGUGAUUACACUCACUGGCCUGUCAUCUAUGGAGUGCUUGGAAUCCCCAAUAGCCAUCUUAUUAACAAGCUUUGAAAUGUCGUCUCUGAUCUCUUUGUGCAGGGACCUAUGGUCUCCACUGGAGUUACUUUGUUUCUGUUGACUGUCAGCCAACAUGGUUUUGUUUCUUGGAUGGGCGGUUGGUAUUUUGUUUUCUUUGCCAUUAGAAGCAGAUGUUGCUGUCAUCUCCUUUCUGGCAAUAGUCUUCUGUGCUUGUUCUGACUGAAAUGGAAUGGUAGAUAGGUCUUUAGUCUGCACUGUCUGCCCCUGUUCCACCUUAAGGUCACUUCCUAUAUGCCUGGCUCUGUCAUGUGCCUUGUCUUUAAUGUCUUGCAUGACUUCCUUCACCUCUUUGGGUUCCUCUGGUUUCAUAUCUUUAGAGAAUGAUUCAGGUUCACCAUUGACAGUCGAAGAAGUUGAUUUCUGUGUUACAACAGGUGUUUCUGGACCUUUAGUAGUAGUGAACACGUCUGCUGCUAUUUUCCCUGAUUCUUUUAAAGGCCGCUGUGUCAUCUCAUUGGGUUGAACAAUGGUUUUAAUUGGGGCUCGAUCUUGAGAGUCAUGAAUGUUAUCUGCAGGGACUGCUGUCUUUGGCUGAAAUUCAAGAGGAAGUGAUUCGGAUACUGCUGAUUUUGGUUCUUGUUUAUCAGAGGGA
rnacentral:lncRNA from 1 species